GACUAGCCUCCCUUUACAGUCUCACCUGCUCAGCUCUGUGACUCCAAACUGCAGUGUUUUCUCUCUUCAGUGUUGAUGGCAUGGCUAGUGCUCAGUCAUCUGGUCACCACAACUCUACUGAGCCCCUCCCCUGGGUGCUGGACUGGCUCUAACACUGUGCGAACAGACAGAGGAAGGCUCAUGCUUGUGGAGCCAACGUUCUAAGUUGGGGAAGAGUCAAUGUAUGAAUUUUAAAAACAGUAAAACAAGAUCAUUUCAGAGAACGGAAGACAACAGCAAGCACGGGCCACCUGUGACCACGUGGACCCUAGGACCCAAGAGCAUGGCCCUGGAGCUGCCUGGCCCUACUGGCCUAGACUGGGCCUCGGC
rnacentral:lncRNA from 1 species